rnacentral:rRNA from 1 species
CUACGGAGGGUGCAAGCGUUGUUCGGAAUUAUUGGGCGUAAAGAGCAUGUAGGCGGUUCGUUAAGUCUGAUGUGAAAGCCCGGGGCUCAACCCCGGAAGUGCAUUGGAUACUGGCGAACUUGAGUACGGGAGAGGAAAGUGGAAUUUCGAGUGUAGGGGUGAAAUCCGUAGAUAUUCGAAGGAACACCAGUGGCGAAGGCGGCUUUCUGGACCGAUACUGACGCUGAGAUGCGAAAGCGUGGGGAGCAAACAGGAUUAGAUACCCCAGUAGUCC